ensembl:lncRNA novel transcript
UUUGUAAACUCAAAUCAAGGUGUAUUUAUUGCACAGGCACAAUAAAUGAACAAGGCAUCUUAAGUACUACAAUGACAGGUGAGUGGGUCAGGCACAGUGGCUUGGCUAGUCAUGAUUAGCAAAGGAACUUCAAAGAGUUUUGGAGCCUGCUUUAUAUCUGUGAAAUGGGAAUUAUUUCCAUCUCAAAGGUUUGAGGGGAUUCGCUGAGAGAAACUUCUUAGCAUGGGAUCUCCAGAAACUGGAAGCCACAGAGAAAGCAGCGGCCAGAGGGAGGAGGAAUCGGACAGGCUGAUCACUUGGAGUGUUCGCCUAAGCAGUUUCUAGAAAUGGAGGCAGGGACCAUCAGGAAGCUCAAAACCUUUGCUUCAGCCGAGUUUGCAGAACGCCCUGUGAGGAGAAUG